GUGUGCCUCGGCAGUACAUACACUAAAAUUGGAAUGAUACAGAGAAGAUUAACAUGGCCGCUGUGCAAGGGUGACUUGUAUCUGUGUGAGGCAUUCCUUACUUUG